UUUUGGAAGGACUUUUAUAGUUCCUUUAAACAAUAUGGCUAACGCUUGCCUAUAGAUUUGAUGAAUAUGAUGUAAUUUCUGGAAGGGCUCCCUAAAAUCAAGGGUAAAGCCUUAAAAAAACAUAAAUUUUAAAUUUCAUUUCUUCUCAUAUAUUACUAGUGCCAACAUGAUAUAGAUAUUCAGGUGCGUCGAACUUUGAAUGCACAAUUCUACGUAAUCAAAUCAUGACCAGUAGUAUUUAAUUC
rnacentral:lncRNA from 1 species